rnacentral:lncRNA from 1 species
CCCCCGCCCCACGCUCCCUGGGUCCUGAUAUCCACUCCUCCCCCGUGGGAGCCUGAUCCUGGGUCUGCCUGAAUUGCUACCAUUCCUAAGACACGACUCACGUCUGUCCACCUCCUCCUUUAUCUGUUUCCCGCAGCCCAGAGGCGUGUGCUCUUCCAUCCAGACAGACAUCACACUUCAGCACCUGCACCUGACACCACUUCAGCCAAAAGCUUCUCUCAAACCUCCCCCACACCUGCCGGUCACACAGGUCUGCACCCAUCACCUUUCUCACACGAAUUCUCACAUAUUCCUGUGUAGCACCAUCCAACUGAUGAUAGUCUGGGAGGAGGAAGCUUUGUAGAUAAGUCCACAUUCUACUUUGCUCCCAGCCCUCCGUCUUGCGUCUUGCAUGAGGCAACCGAUUAACAGCAAUUUCAUUUCAGCACAACAUUUCCAUUUGAAGAAACGCAGAGCAUAGGGCUCUGGUCAUAAUUAAAAGCUUGUUUCAUUUGUCAUUUGAAAUUCCAUGUACUGCUGCAACAGCAGCACCCCCUCCUCGCCAGGCUCUGCCCUAAGGACAUCUUUCUUCCAGCGCACGACUCCCAUCAGAACCCCGGCAGCGAGAGCCCCGCAGGUUUCCCAGCGCCUCGGGCUGCGGCUUCCACGCUGGGCCGGCACUGACAGGACGGGAAUGGUGCCCCCAACAACUACAGGAUCGGAAGCUGGUCGACUGCUCUGUAGAAUGGAGACAUGUUAGUAAUCCCCGACAUUUCCACUGACAGGCUGCUCAGGUAAACUGGGAAAAAUCCACAAACUAGAAAGAACCCAUGGGGAGGAGCACUUCUGUCUCCAACCUGGCAGCAAACGGUGGCUGUGCAGACGAUCUCUUCAGGAAAACUAUCGACUGUAUCUCAGGUCAACAACAGCCCCGCUGAGGGCCAAAAAAUCAGCUCCCCCGGCCCUCACUUCCUAAGGGUCAACCCUCCCAGGCCACCUCUCCUGGAAGAUCAGCUCUGACGCACCCACGACGGUCAGGAACCGGCUCUGGGACACAUUUCCCAGGCUCCUGCCCACCGCCCUCUCUUCUUCCUCCUCCAUCUCCCUCUUCACUCCCAUCCGCCCUCCCCCUUUCGCUUCCCUUCUCUCCUUUCCUCUCCCUCCCUCAUUUCCUUUCAGCCCUCACCUUCCUCACUGCACUUCCCUAUGCAACUCAGCUGACACGUUCUCAGGUCAGUAGAGUUUUCUUUCACUCUGUUUUUAUUGCAAUGAUCAUUCUUAAUGAACAGAAACCUGUUUCGGACCAUGUGGAUGCCACCUCCUGACCAACUGCUGCCCCGCGGCUCCGUGUCCACUCAGUGACCUCACGGCGCAGGUGCCCAGCAGUAUGGCUGUGACCAGGGGUAGCAACAUGGGACAUGAGAGAGGUAUCCCAGCCAAGAGGCCCUGCAAAGCCUCCCCAGCAAACCGGAGCAAGGCCCAGGGCGGUAGGGAGAGCGCCGUGCUCAUGAUGUAGGCAGUUCAGCUUCCGCAAACUGUCCAUCGACUGCAAAUUACUUUGUUUCCAUGGUUACAGAAGAACCAUAAGCAUUCUGAAAUAUGUUCUUGGUUUCAUGUUUGCGAAAUCUAAGCAACAUUAUAAGAAAAAUCACUGAAUUCUGCCCGAGGCUCUAGGGGUGUUUUCCUCUCUGAAAGGAGCCCCUUCCAGGACUUGGGAUUGAGUGACAGCCUUCAAAAUCACGGUUAUCCUGGUGGUAACAGGGAACUUCUCAGCCCGCCGGGAGCUGGGGCCCUCGACAGCCCCCACGGCUCCAGACGCCAGUGUUCUAAGAAUCACACAUGUGCAGAUAGCAAAGCUUGCUGCACACACGCCAGGUGCUAACAAGCCCCAAACGUCUCACUCAUACUUGCUAACCACAUCGCUUCUCUCAGCCUCCACGGCGUUUCACACUCUGCCUUUAUAUAGAGAUGAACCAUGCGUCCUGAGCACUACAAAGAUUCAACUCCUUCCGGGAAGAGGGGUGCAUCUUUCCAUCACGGGGUCCUCACUCCAGCUGGCACAGGAUUUGCAGAGUGGGCGAGUCUAAUGUUGAUGACACUUUCUCAAUAUUCCCUUCACACCCCUCCAAAAACAAGAGUGCUGCCAGCUUCUUACCGACGUUGUAAUGAGCAAAAUAUUUUUCUCUUAUUUGUCACUUUUUAACGUUAUACUAGUGAAGAAUGUGACUCUGCAUGUACACUGUAAGCACCCACACCGUGAACAUUCUGCUCUCCUGUGACUGUAUUCACAGGUCACAAGGACAAAACUUCUCCAUAGUAGCCA